rnacentral:tRNA from 1 species
AAGAAAGUGGUAGAUUGGUUAUAUGGCUGACUUGAAAUUAGUCAAAGGGGGUUCGAUUCCCUCCUUUCUUG